rnacentral:rRNA from 2 species
AUCCGGGUUGCGGACAGUGUCUGGUGGGUAGUUUGACUGGGGCGGUCUCCUCCUAAAGAGUAACGGAGGAGCACGAAGGUUGGCUAAUCCUGGUCGGACAUCAGGAGGUUAGUGCAAUGGCAUAAGCCAGCUUGACUGCGAGCGUGACGGCGCGAGCAGGUGCGAAAGCAGGUCAUAGUGAUCCGGUGGUUCUGAAUGGAAGGGCCAUCGCUCAACGGAUAAAAGGUACUCCGGGGAUAACAGGCUGAUACCGCCCAAGAGUUCAUAUCGACGGCGGUGUUUGGCACCUCGAUGUCGGCUCAUCACAUCCUGGGGCUGAAGUAGGUCCCAAGGGUAUGGCUGUUCGCCAUUUAAAGUGGUACGCGAGCUGGGUUUAGAACGUCGUGAGACAGUUCGGUCCCUAUCUGCCGUGGGCGCUGGAGAACUGAGGGGGGCUGCUCCUAGUACGAGAGGACCGGAGUGGACGCAUCACUGGUGUUCGGGUUGUCAUGCCAAUGGCACUGCCCGGUAGCUAAAUGCGGAAGAGAUAAGUGCUGAAAGCAUCUAAGCACGAAACUUGCCCCGAGAUGAGUUCUCCC